UACGUAGGGAGCAAGCGUUGUCCGGAAUCAUUGGGCGUAAAGCGCGCGUAGGCGGCCUCAUAAGUCCGUUGUGAAAGUCAAAGGCUCAACCUUUGAAAGCCGAUGGAUACUGUAAGGCUAGAGUCCGGAAGAGGCGAGUGGAAUUCCUGGUGUAGCGGUGGAAUGCGCAGAUAUCAGGAGGAACACCAAUAGCGAAGGCAGCUCGCUGGGACGGUACUGACGCUAAGGCGCGAAAGCGUGGGGAGCGAACAGG
rnacentral:rRNA from 1 species